GGGUCAGUAGGUUGGUCGUGCCACCGGUACGUACUGGUCUCACUGAUUCCUCCUUCCUGAAUAACCGUAAUGCCAUUAAUUUGGUGUUGCGGGGAAACUGGACUGUUACUUUGAAAAAAUUAGAGUGUUUAAAGCAAGCUAACGCUUGAAUACAUUAGCAUGGAAUAAUGAAAUAGGACGAUCGAUCCUAUUUUGUUGGUUUCUAGGAUUGACGUG
rnacentral:rRNA from 1 species